rnacentral:lncRNA from 1 species
UUUAAAUUCUUCUAUAUAGAAAGUAUUUGGAUGUGGAAGAGCCUUCAAAUAGAAAGACUCCUCCACUUCUGUGCUAACAAAUCUCCAAGAGCCAUCAAAUGGCACAUGGAGUAAAGGGAAUGCAUGAAAUAAAAGAAGGGAGUUAAGAGUCUUCGUUAAGAAGGACUCUUCCUUCUUAACACUAAAAGUGUGGCACCAUUAAUUCUUUGGCAUGAAAAAUUGGCAUGG